AACGUAGGAGGCGAACGUUAUCCGGAAUUACUGGGCGUAAAGCGCACGCAGGCGGCUUCGUAAGUCCGACGUGAAAGCUCCCGGCUUAACUGGGAGAGGCCGUUGGAUACUGCGGGGCUCGAGGUUAGGAGAGGGAAGUGGAACUCCCGGUGUAGUGGUGGAAUGCGUAGAUAUCGGGAAGAACUCCAGUGGCGAAAGCGACUUCCUGGCCUACACCUAACGCUGAGGUGCGAAAGCGUGGGGAGCGAACAGG
rnacentral:rRNA from 1 species